CAGGGCUGAGGUCUCUGGGAAGGCAGAGCUGUGGUCUAGGAGAAGAUGAGACUGCUGGGUCUUCUCCUGUGCCUGCUGACAGCCCCCCAAGGUGUCCUGUCCCAGGUGCAGCUGCAGGAGUCGGGGCCAGGACUGGUGAAGCCCUCGCAGACCCUCUCCCUCACCUGCUCUGUCUCUGGUUACUCAAUCACCAGUGAUUCCUGCUGGCACUGGAUCCGCCAGCCCCCAUUGAAGGGGCUUGAGUGGAUUGGGCGCAUAUGUAGUAGUGGGAACACUUACUACAGCCCCUCCCUCAAGAGCCGAACCUCCAUCUCCAGGGACACAUCCAAGAACCAGUUCUCCCUGCAGUUGAGCUCCGUGACCACCGAGGACACAGCCGUGUAUUACUGUGCAAGAGACAGGAGCAUUCAUGGGGCCCAUGAGCUGCAGAGCAUCAUGGUGGACAAGCCCGUGGCCACUGGGGUCAGAGAACAGUCAGGGAAGGGCUUGUUCCUGGUCACCUAUAGUGUUGCCAACGUGUUGCUGACCAGAGCCCAGGUGCAGCUGCAGGAGUCGGGCCCAGGAUUGGUGAAGCCCUUGCAGACCCUCUCCCUCACCUGCACUGUGUCCGGAGGCUCAGUGACCAGCAGUGACUACUGGAGCUGA